UUUUAUGGUGCUGUGUAGGCAAGUCAAUGUUGUUUUAGGUCACUACUGUACAAUAGCMGUAAGUUCUUGUACCUGCACCUAUUACCUAUUAAGGCAAUAAGAAUUUCUCCUUGAAUUAAGUGAAGCCAGAUUUCUCAUCUGUUUACAGAUCAGAAAGAAGAGAAUGGAAGAAGAAGUGGUGUUCAAGUGAAUGAACAAACUUUCAAGCUGACUCACUGAUGCACGUACAGUAUACGCUGUACAGAUUAGUCACCACUUACUGUAAAUCUUUCUUUAUGAUGCUUGGUGGACAUGCGGCUGUAUCAAACAGCAGUUAGCUGGCUUUGUAGACUGGGAAUUCAGCUUUUCUUCUAUAAUAGUCACCUAGAAGUGAAGGCAGGAGGAAGUACUGAGAGGUGCCCAUGAGAGAGAAGGAGUGUGCACACGCACGCAUCUGAAUGCCAGUACCAGACACUGCCCUGGAAGAAAUCUAGGCCAUGUGCUGGCCUUAUCCAGUACAUUUGUUCAAGUGAUGGAAUUUUAUGACUUGUUGGAUUCUGAAUAGAGUGAGGAGAUGCGUCUGAUAAGAUACAUCACUUUGAGAUCACAGAAUGAAAGAAACAUGAAAUGUUAUGGCGAAGACAGCACAGCAAGAAACAAUAGUCUCGCAAAUACUCACAAAUCAGGUGCCUGGUGCACUGAACCUAUCAACUGUGCAAGAUUUGUGCUUUGGUCCUCUUUUGAAGAUGUGAAGCAACGUCGAGUCUGAAAUUGGAAUUACUGAUAGACUGGAGGAAAUCUUAGUCCUUGUGAUACACAUGGACAUGCUGAAUUCUAAGUAAUUCUAGCUUCUUUUCCCCUCCCCUCCCCUUCCCUUAUUCAGCUAUCUCAGGGUUAACAGAGAUUUCAAUGGUUUGUGUGCCUGUAAGUU
rnacentral:lncRNA from 1 species